rnacentral:rRNA from 1 species
CGUCUAGGCGGUUUGGCAAGUCAGAUGUGAAAGCCCUCGGCUUAACCGGGGACGUGCAUCUGAAACUGCUAAGCUUGAGUGUCGGAGGGGGUAGCGGAAUUCCCGGUGUAGAGGUGAAAUUCGUAGAUAUCGGGAGGAACACCAGUGGCGAAGGCGGCUACCUGGCCGAACACUGACGCUGAAGCGCGAAAGCGUGGGGAGCAAACAGGAUUAGAUACCCUGGUAGUCC